rnacentral:misc_RNA from 1 species
GGAAGGAUCAUUACCGUGAUGAUGAUGAUGACGAAGCAGUCGUUUGCGCGACACUAGUCUUCGAUCACAACAUACACACACAUCUCGUACGGACAGCGCACAAGGCGAGCCCGAAAGGCUGGCCGAAAACGACACGGUUGUCGCGCGUUUCGGGGUACCUGGCCGGCGCCGUCUAUGCGCCGGGGGAGCGGCGGACGAUGACUUCGUUUUGCUUCGUCUAUUGGUGAUCCGACGGUCACCGACCGCACGGCGACGGUUCAAAGAACUAGCCGACUGCUGUUGCUACUACUACGGCAGUCGGUCCGUCGCCCCGUACGCGUAUGUUUUUUUCGUCUUAUUUUCACUACAGUCGCUAUACGAAUCGUCUUCGACGUCGGCGUUCUCGAACGUCGGCGGCGACGACCGAGUUCUGUGACAGACAAAUAUCAUAAAACUCUAAGCGGUGGAUCACUCGGCUCGUGUGUCGAUGAAGAGCGCAGCCAGCUGCGUGAAGUAAUGUGAAUUGCAGGACACAUUGAACAUCGAUAUCUUGAACGCACAUUGCGGCCUCGGGCAUUCUCGAGGCCACGCCUGUCUCAGGGUCGGUUGAAAGUAUCUAUCGCGAGUCGUCGUCUCUUGCUCGCGCAGUGGACCGUCGCGGCAACGGCGCAACAACGUUCGGUCUUCUCUUGCCGUUCGUCGUCUAGCCUGCCGUCGCGUCGUCCGAAAUUCAGACGGUUCGCGUUGCGUCUUGCGCGACGCGAUACCGCACGUCUCGAUACCGCUUCGUCGAUGGAUUCAGCGGGACGGUUGCUCGGAUGCUCUCCUCGUCUUUUGCAGAGUUCUAAGAGCCGUUGUCGCUGCUGCUGUCGUCGUCGUCGGUGAGGCGCGCUAACCCUAAACAACAACGAUUUUCGACCUGAGAUCAGACGAGAUCACCCGCUGAAUUUAAGCAUAUUAAUAAGCGGAGGAAAAGAAACUAACUAGGAUUCCCUCAGUAACGGCGAGUGAAGCGGGAAGAGCCCAGCACCGAAUCGCGCGUUCUUGCGACGCUGCGAACUGUGGUGUUUAGGACUAGCGCAUGCACGUCGGUCCGGCGUCCGAGUCCUCCUGAUCGGGGCUUUGCCAGAGCGGGUGUCAGCCCUCUACGGCGCCGGAUCGUCUUGCCCGCCACGUCCUCGGAGUCGGGUUGUUUGAUAAUGCAGCCCAAAGCGGGUGGUAAACUCCAUCUAAGGCUAAAUACGGACACGAGUCCGAUAGCGAACAAGUACCGUGAGGGAAAGUUGAAAAGAACUUUGAAGAGAGAGUUCAACAGUACGUGAAACCGUUCAGAGGCAAACGGAGAGGACCGCAAAGUCUGCUCGUCGGAUUCAAUCCGGCGGCGGCGUGGCUCGCGAGGCGUCGCUUACCCGCAAGGGGCGCGUCGCGCGUGAUCGCGUCGUCGACGGAUGCACUUUCGGCGGGCGGAGCGCCACGACCGGUUCGUCGGCGGUCAGAAGCCCUCGGGAAAGGUGACCGAUCUCGCAAGAGUUCGGCGUUAUAGACCCGGGAGGCGUUGGCCCGUCGGCGGACCGAGGAAGACUGCUCGUCGCGGUCGGUCGCGAUACCGCGGCUCCGGGCGUCCGUUCGAUCUGCGGGGACUGUCGUCAGUGCCCGCUAACCGCGGACGUUCGGUGGUCGCGGAACUCGCGGCCGGCUCGGGGUCGGUGGCGAAUCGGUCGGUUACCUGUCCGACCCGUCUUGAAACACGGACCAAGGAGUCUAACAUGUGCGCGAGUCAUUGGGUGUUACGAAACCUAGAGGCGCAGUGAAAGCAAAGGUCGAUCCUCGCGGUCGACUCGGGUAGGAUCCCUCGUCGUUUCGGUGGCGGGGGCGCACUACCGGCCCGUCUCGAACACAGCGUUGUUGAGGCGGAGCAAGAGCGUACACGUUGGGACCCGAAAGAUGGUGAACUAUGCCCGAGUAGGACGAAGCCAGAGGAAACUCUGGUGGAGGUCCGCAGCGAUUCUGACGUGCAAAUCGAUCGUCAAACUUGGGUAUAGGGGCGAAAGACUAAUCGAACCAUCUAGUAGCUGGUUCCUGC